rnacentral:rRNA from 2 species
GGGCAAGUCUGGUGCCAGCAGCCGCGGUAAUUCCAGCUCCAAUAGCGUAUAUUAAAGUUGUUGCAGUUAAAAAGCUCGUAGUUGAACCUUGGGCCUGGCUGGCCGGUCCGCCUCACCGCGUGCACUGGUUCAGCCGGGCCUUUCCCUCUGGGGAACCCUAUGGUCUUCACUGAUCGUAGCGGGGAACCAGGACUUUUACUGUGAAAAAAUUAGAGUGUUCAAAGCAGGCCUAUGCUCGAAUACAUUAGCAUGGAAUAAUAAAAUAGGACGUGUGGUACUAUUUUGUUGGUUUCUAGGACCGCCGUAAUGAUUAAUAGGGAUAGUCGGGGGCGUCAGUAUUCAGCUGUCAGAGGUGAAAUUCUUGGAUUUGCUGAAGACUAACUACUGCGAAAGCAUUCGCCAAGGAUGUUUUCAUUAAUCAGGGAACGAAAGUUAGGGGAUCGAAGACGAUCAGAUACCGUCGUAGUCUUAACCAUAAACUAUGCCGACUAGGGAUCGGACGGUGUUAUUUUUUGACCCGUUUGGCACCUUACGGGAAAC